rnacentral:tRNA from 1 species
GGAGGGGUGACCGAGUGGUUUAAGGUACCGGUCUUGAAAACCGGCAACGGGAAACCGUUCGUGGGUUCGAAUCCCACCCCCUCCGCCA